rnacentral:rRNA from 1 species
AGUGAACGCUGGCGGUAGGCCUAACACAUGCAAGUCGAACGGCAGCACAGAGGAGCUUGCUCCUUGGGUGGCGAGUGGCGGACGGGUGAGGAAUACAUCGGAAUCUACUCUGUCGUGGGGGAUAACGUAGGGAAACUACGCUAAUACCGCAUACGACCUACGGGUGAAAGCAGGGGAUCUUCGGACCUUGCGCGAUUGAAUGAGCCGAUGUCGGAUUAGCUAGUUGGCGGGGGUAAAGGCCCACCAAGGCGACGAUCCGUAGCUGGUCUGAGAGGAUGAUCAGCCACACUGGAACUGAGACACGGUCCAGACUCCUACGGGAGGCAGCAGUGGGGAAUAUUGGACAAUGGGCGCAAGCCUGAUCCAGCCAUACCGCGUGGGUGAAGAAGGCCUUCGGGUUGUAAAGCCCUUUUGUUGGGAAAGAAAUCCAUCUGGUUAAUACCCGGGUGGGAUGACGGUACCCAAAGAAUAAGCACCGGCUAACUUCGUGCCAGCAGCCGCCGUAA